AUGGGCUCCAUGCUCCUCUGCUGUGUGGUCUUUUGUCUCCUGGGAACAGGCUCCAUGGAUGCUGGUAUUACCCAGACUCCAAGGAAUAGGAUCGCAAUCACGGGAAAGAGCACUGCACUGGAAUGUUCUCAGACUAAGGAUCAUGAGUCUAUGUACUGGUAUCGACAAGACCCAGGACUGGGGCUCCGGCUGAUCUACUACUCCUACGGUGUCAAUGAUACUAACAAAGGAGAUGUCUCCGCCGGGUACAGAGUCUCUCGUAAGGAGAAGGCGAAGUUCUCCCUCUUCCUAGAGCCCGCCACCCCCAACCAGACAGCCCUUUACUUCUGUGCCAGCAGGCCACCUUGGCGGCACAGGAGGCUGGUCCACACUGGGGAACUGCACUUCGGGCCAGGGACCCGGCUCACGGUGCUAGAGGACCUGAGCAAGGUGACCCCACCCAAGGUGGCUGUGUUCGAACCGUCGGCAGCAGAGAUCUCCCGGACCCAGAAGGCCACGCUCGUGUGCCUGGCCACGGGCUUCUACCCCGACCACGUGGAGCUGAGCUGGUGGGUGAACGGGAAGCAGGUCAAGACGGGGGUCAGCACGGACCCUCAGCCCCGCAAGGAGGACCCCGGCCGCAACGACUCCAGCUACUCUCUGAGCAGCCGGCUGAGGGUCUCUGCCACCUUCUGGUACAACCCUCGCAACCUCUUCCGCUGCCAAGCCUGGUUCCACGGGGUCCCGGACGAGGACGAGUGGAAGCAGGACGGGCCCAAGCCCGUCACCCAGAACAUCAGUGCCGAGGUCUGGGGCCGAGCAGACUGUGGCCUCACCUCGGCGUCCUAUCAGCAAGGGGUCCUGUCUGCCACCAUCCUCUAUGAGAUCCUGCUGGGGAAGGCCACCCUCUAUGCCGUGCUGGUCAGCGCCCUGGUUCUGAUGGCCAUGGUUAAGAAAAAGGAUUCCUGAGACCAGCUCCUAAAGUGCAUCCUGAGUCAUUCUUUAUCCUCUCCUUGGAUUCUCCUUAACAUGUUUCCAGUCUGUGUUCCUCAAGAGUUUCUCUCUCUCCACCUUUUAUCUCCUUCCUACAUGGAUAUCUGUUCCUUCUCUCAGCUUCCCUGUAGACUGAGCUCCUCACCACUGAAUCUGAAAUUGACUAAAGCAAUAAAAGUGUCAUG